rnacentral:rRNA from 1 species
UACGUAGGGGGCAAGCGUUAUCCGGAUUUACUGGGUGUAAAGGGAGCGUAGACGGCAGCGCAAGUCUGGAGUGAAAUCCCAUGGCUUAACCAUGGAACUGCUUUGGAAACUGUGCAGCUGGAGUGCAGGAGAGGUAAGCGGAAUUCCAGGUGUAGGAGUGAAAUCCGUAGAUAUCUGGAGGAACAUCAGUGGCGAAGGCGGCCACCUGGACCGGUAUUGACGCUGAGGCGCGAAAGCGUGGGGAGCAAACAGG